rnacentral:rRNA from 1 species
AUUGAACGCUGGCGGCAGGCUUAACACAUGCAAGUCGAGCGGGGUGAUGGUGCUUGCACUAUCACUUAGCGGCGGACGGGUGAGUAAUGCUUAGGAAUCUGCCUAUUAGUGGGGGAUAACAUCUCGAAAGGGAUGCUAAUACCGCAUACGUCCUACGAGAGAAAGCAGGGGAUCACUUGUGACCUUGCGCUAAUAGAUGAGCCUAAGUCGGAUUAGCUAGUUGGUGGGGUAAAGGCCUACCAAGGCGACGAUCUGUAGCGGGUCUGAGAGGAUGAUCCGCCACACUGGGACUGAGACACGGCCCAGACUCCUACGGGAGGCAGCAGUGGGGAAUAUUGGACAAUGGGGGGAACCCUGAUCCAGCCAUGCCGCGUGUGUGAAGAAGGCCUUAUGGUUGUAAAGCACUUUAAGCGAGGAGGAGGCUCUUUUGGCUAGUACCCAAGAUGAGUGGACGUUACUCGCAGAAUAAGCACCGGCUAACUCUGUGCCAGCAGCCGCCGUAA